AGGACGAACGCUGGCGGCGUGCUUAACACAUGCAAGUCGAGCGGAAAGGCCCUUUCGGGGGUACUCGAGCGGCGAACGGGUGAGUAACACGUGAGUAACCUGCCCUGGACUUUGGGAUAACCCUCGGAAACGGGGGCUAAUACCGGAUAUGACACGCUCUCGCAUGGGAUGUGUGUGGUAAAGUUUUUCGGUCUGGGAUGGGCUCGCGGCCUAUCAGCUUGUUGGUGGGGUGAUGGCCUACCGAAGGCGACGACGGGUA
rnacentral:rRNA from 1 species